rnacentral:ncRNA from 2 species
AUGAAGCCAACCAUUCCAGGUGGCCAGAAUCGGCAGAAUAGGGAAGCAGGUGUGAGUCCUGCACUCGGCAAGAGAGCUGUAAACGGGGAUGAACCUACCAUCCGCCACAGGCGGAACGUCACUGCAUCUGAAGGUGUGGGAAGGCGGUAGAAGUAAGAUGAUCCGUGAGUCAGAAGACCUGCCUGGGAAAACGGAGAGCA